UACGGGGGGGGCAAGCGUUGUUCGGAAUUACUGGGCGUAAAGGGUUUGUAGGUGGCUUGUUAAGUCAGACGUGAAAUCCCUCAGCUUAACUGGGGAACUGCGUCUGAUACUGGCGAGCUUGAGUGCAGGAGAGGAACGCGGAAUUCCAGGUGUAGCGGUGAAAUGCGUAGAUAUCUGGAGGAACACCGGUGGCGAAGGCGGCGUUCUGGACUGCAACUGACACUGAGAAACGAAAGCCAGGAUAGCAAACGGG
rnacentral:rRNA from 1 species